rnacentral:rRNA from 1 species
GUCUACGGCCCCAUCACGUUGAAAACACCGGUNNNCGUCCGAUCACCGAAGUUAAGCAACGUCGAGCCCGGUUAGUACUUGGAUGGGUGACCGCCUGGGAAUACCGGGUGCUGUAGGCUU